CGGAGCUGCUCGGCGCGCUGGGUCCGCCGACGACGGUGGCGCCACCUCCGCCCGUGCAGCGGAGCCCGCAGAGGGCAGCACCGGCGCCGUGCCCACCGGCUCGCUCCGCCUUCGAUGACCUGGAUGACCUGGUGCGCCUCAGCAUGUCGGGCUCGGCCCCGCCUAACAGCAGGACCAUCAAGACUCCUCCGAUUCCGUCCAGUCCACGCUCCGCCCCUCCUGGAAAAGCAACCAAUCAGAGCGCGGUGCCGUCCACAACCUUUGUCCUCCAGCCAGUCAAGGAUGCCAGUCCGCCGUCACCGACCAAUCAGGGCGCAACGAACGGCUCGGAGCACUCGCUACUGGACUUCGGCUGCGAGCAGUCGGGGGCGGCGCCUAACGGGCAUCAGCCAACCGGCGAACUGCAUGGUGAUGACGUCAGCUUGCUGUCGGCGCUGAGUGGUCCGAGCUCGCACGACUCGCUGCUGUCCGACGGAAGGUCAGAUGAAGGUCAAGUGCGGGCGGCAGGAGAGCCAGCGGCCACUGGGAAGCUGCUGAGCUUGGCGGACGUUACUGUACCGU